GCAAUUCAAAGCUUUUCAUAAACAAUAUAUACAAGACUGAAGGAGAAGAAGAUAAAAAUAACAAGAUAAUAAAGAGAGAGAGAGAUAGGAGAUCAUGGGGUUUUUUACAUAUAUGGAUCCCAAGUUAAAGCAUCUAAAAUUUAGAAGAUUCAGGGAAAGAAACAGAGGAUUUUACACAUGAUUACAUGUAUUUGAAAGUAACUGCUGGAAAUGGCAAAGUAAACCUGUCAUGAGACAGCCUGCAAAAAGAGCUAAUACCCUCCCCUACAACAAUUCCCCCCAAUUACUCAUGAGUUGGCUACUCUACUCAGAUUUGUGGGUACUGGCUGGCUUGCCACCAUUGCCUCCAUUUUCCUUACUCUUUCUUCCUGUAAAUGAAAAAUUUUUCACGCCCUCAACAAUAUCUUCAUAUAUCUUGUCUUUUAUUUGACCUCUCUUUGGUGGAAGGCUUGCAUUUCCUUUCUUCUCUGUCUUGUUGGUUCUGCUGUCCAUCCUGAUAUGGGUGAAGCUGUGAAAGACUGGAUAUAGUAUCAGGAGGACAAGAAAGAGGCUUUUGAGAGUCACUGAGGAAAAAGAAUCAAGAAAGGAAGGGACAUAUAAUGGUGGGAGAUGGUAACAAGAA
rnacentral:misc_RNA from 1 species